CUAUGUAACCUGGACCAUUACAGUAGUGAGUCACUGAGUCACUAUAUAACCUGGACCAUUACAGUAGUGAGUCACUGAGUCACUAUAUAACCUGGACCAUUACAGUAGUGAGUCACUGAGUCACCAUUGUAACCAAUGCUGGGUUAAAGAGUUGAUCCAUGGCAGGGAACAAUCAUUGUUCUGUCUUAACCAAUGCUAGCCAGCCUCUAGGCUGUCUAUUGGCACACAAUGGAAAUUUACCUAUUAGCACGCUAAGCUACUAACAAUGAAAAUGUACCUAUUAGCACGCUAAGCUAAUAACAAUGAAAAUGUACCUAUUAGCACGCUAAGCUAAUAACAAUGGAAAUGUACCUAUUAGCACGCUAAGCUAAUAACAAUGAAAAUAUACCUCUUUGCACGCUAAGCUAAUAACAUUAGAAAUAGCCCUAUCUAGAAGGAGGAGACAGUACAGGUGCAUCAAAGCUUGGACAGAGAGACUGAAAAACAGUCUGUCUCAAGGCCAGCAGUCCUGUAAAUAGUCACCACUAGCCAGCCUCCACCCAGUACCCUGCCCUGAACUAGAGUCACUGUUAACAGCCAGCCUCCGCCCAGUACCCUACCCUGAACUAUAGUCUCUGUUACUAGCAAACUACCACCCAGUCAGUGCUGGGAGGUGUGUCUUUCACUUCUGCCAGCCAAUCAGCAGUCAGUGCUGCUGGGAGGUGUGUCUUUCACCUCUGCUCGGCAUUUAGUGUUAUUGAUCUUCAGUCUCUGCUGUUUUCUCAGCAGCAGCUACAAGCGGUGGUGUUGUCACCAAGACGGUCUGCCAAGUUAUUCAAGGAAAGGUAGGAGGGCUUCACACCACUCUGUCACUUGAUUAUCUUACCUAGUUAUUCAAGGAAAGGUAGGAGGGCUUCACACCACUCUGUCACUUGAUUAUCUUACCUAGUUAUUCAAGGAAAGGAAGGAGGGCUUCACACCACUCUGUCACUUGAUUAUCUUACCUUGUUAUUCAAGGAAAGGUAGGAGGGCUUCACACCACUCUGUCACUUGAUUAUCUUACCUAGUUAUUCAAGGAAAGGUAGGAGGACUUCACACCACUCUGUCACUUGAAUAUCUUACCUAGUUAUUUCCAGAUUCUCAUUUCGC
ensembl:lncRNA